rnacentral:rRNA from 1 species
UACAGAGGGUGCAAACGUUGCUCGGAAUCAUUGGGCGUAAAGCGCACGUAGGCGGUCUGAUAAGUCGGAUGUGAAAGCCCUGGGCUCAACCCAGGAAGUGCAUUCGAAACUGCCAGACUUGAAUAUGGAAGAGGGUCGCGGAAUUCCCGGUGUAGAGGUGAAAUGCGCAGAUAUCGGGAGGAACACCUAUGGCGAAGGCAGCUCGCUGGGACGUUACUGACGCUGAGACGCGAAAGCGUGGGGAGCAAACAGG